rnacentral:tRNA from 3 species
GCGGGCAUAGUUUAGGGGUAAAACCCCAGCCUUCCAAGCUGGUGUCGAGGGUUCGAUUCCCUCUGCCCGCACCA